AGUUUGAUUAUGGCUCAGAUUGAACGCUGGCAGGAUGCUACACAUGCAAGUCGAACGGCAGCACGGACUUCGGUCUGGUGGCGUGGCGAACGGGUGAGUAAUGUAUCAGGAACGUGCCUAGUAGCGGGGGAUAACUACGCGAAAGCGUAGCUAAUACCACAUACGCCCUUCGGGGGAAAGCGGGGACCUUCGGGCCUCGCACUAUUAGAGCGGCCGAUAUCGGAUUAGCUAGUUGGUGGGAACAACGGCUCACCAAGGCGACGAUCCGUAGCUGGUUUGAGAGGACGACCAGCCACACUGGGACUGAGACACGGCCCAGACUCCUACGGGAGGCAGCAGUGGGGGAAUUUUUGGACAAUGGAAACCGGAUGUUGAGCCAUCCGCGUGGUGCGAUCUGAAGCCUUUGGGUUGCAGCAUUUUGUGUGGAAGAACAGCAGAUUAAUACCGUUACAUUUGGCGUUACCUGCUGGAUAAGCACCGACUAACUACAUUAGCGGCGCGGUAUUACAUAGGGAUGCGCAGCGACCAAUCGGAAUUACUGGCUGGAAAGCGAUGCAUGCGUGGGCUGCGGACGGAAGGGGCUCGGAAGAGAUGUAGAUCGAACAACGGAACUGCAUUUUUAACUACCGAGCUAGAGUGUGUCAGAGGGAGGUGGAAUUCCGCGUGUAGCAGUGAAAUGCGUAGAUAUGCGGAGGAACACCGAUGGCGAAGGCAGCCUCCUGGGAUAACACUGACGCUCAUGCACGAAAGCGUGGGAGCAAACGGGAUUAGAUACCCUGGUAGUCCACGCCCUAAACGAUGUCAACUAGCUGUUGGGGCCUUCGGGCCUUGGUAGCGCAGCUAACGCGUGAAGUUGACCGCCUGGGAGUACGGUCGCAAGAUUAAAACUCAAAGGAAUUGACGGGGACCCGCACAAGCGGUGGAUGAUGUGGUUAAUUCGAUGCAACGCGAAAAACCUUACCUACCCUUGACAUGUCUGGAAUCCCGAAGAGAUUUGGGAGUGCUCGCAAGAGAACCGGAACACAGGUGCUGCAUGGCUGUCGUCAGCUCGUGUCGUGAGAUGUUGGAGUUAAGUCCCGCAACGAGCGCAACCCUUGUCAUUAGUUGCUACGAAGGGCACUCUAAUGAGACUGCCGGUGACAAACCGGAGGAAGGUGGGGAUGACGUCAAGUCCUCAUGGCCCUUAUGGGUAGGGCUUCACACGUCAUACAAUGGUCGGGACAGAGGGUCGCCAACCCGCGAGGGGGAGCCAAUCCCAGAAACCCGAUCGUAGUCCGGAUCGCAGUCUGCAACUCGACUGCGUGAAGUCGGAAUCGCUAGUAAUCGCGGAUCAGCAUGUCGCGGUGAAUACGUUCCCGGGUCUUGUGCACCGCCCGUCACACCAUGGAGUGGGUUUUACCGAAGUAGUUAGCCUAACCGUAAGGAGGGCGAUUACCACGGUAGGAUUCAUGACUGGGGGUGAAGUCGUAACAAGGUAA
rnacentral:rRNA from 1 species